GGGGAAUAUUGCACAAUGGGCGAAAGCCUGAUCCAGCAAUGCUGCGUGUGUGAAGAAGGUUUUCGGAUUGUAAAGCACUUUCGGCGGGGACGAUGAUGACGGUACCCGCAGAAGAAGCCCCGGCUAACUUCGUGCCAGCAGCCGCGGUAAUACGAAGGGGGCUAGCGUUGCUCGGAAUGACUGGGCGUAAAGGGCGCGUAGGCGGUUGACACAGUCAGGUGUGAAAUUCCCGGGCUUAACCUGGGGGCUGCAUUUGAGACGUGUUGACUAGAGUGUGAGAGAGGGUUGUGGAAUUCUCAGUGUAGAGGUGAAAUUCGUAGAUAUUGGGAAGAACACCGGUGGCGAAGGCGGCAACCUGGCUCAUAACUGACGCUGAGGCGCGAAAGCGUGGGGAGCAAAC
rnacentral:rRNA from 1 species